rnacentral:rRNA from 1 species
GAUGAACGCUAGCGGCAGGCUUAACACAUGCAAGUCGAGGGGUAUAGUUCUUCGGAAUUAGAGACCGGCGCACGGGUGCGUAACGCGUAUGCAAUCUACCUUUCACAAAGGGAUAGCCCCAGAGAAAUUUGGAUUAAUACCUUAUAGUAAUACGACUUGGCAUCAAGAUGUAUUUAAAGAUUUAUCGGUGAAAGAUGAGCAUGCGUCCCAUUAGCUUGUUGGUAAGGUAACGGCUUACCAAGGCAACGAUGGGUAGGGGUCCUGAGAGGGAGAUCCCCCACACUGGUACUGAGACACGGACCAGACUCCUACGGGAGGCAGCAGUGAGGAAUAUUGGACAAUGGGCGCAAGCCUGAUCCAGCCAUGCCGCGUGCAGGAUGACGGUCCUAUGGAUUGUAAACUGCUUUUGUACAGGAAGAAACCCGUUUCACGUGUGGAAGAUUGACGGUACUGUAAGAAUAAGGAUCGGCUAACUCCGUGCCAGCAGCCGCGG